rnacentral:rRNA from 1 species
AGAGUGAACGCUGGCGGUAGGCCUAACACAUGCAAGUCGAACGGCAGCACAGUAGGAGCUUGCUCUUACGGGUGGCGAGUGGCGGACGGGUGAGGAAUACAUCGGAAUCUACCUUUUGGUGGGGGAUAACGUAGGGAAACUUACGCUAAUACCGCAUACGCCCUUCGGGGGAAAGCCGGGGACCAGCAAUGGCCUGGCGCUGAUAGAUGAGCCGAUGUCGGAUUAGCUAGUUGGUGAGGUAAUGGCUCACCAAGGCGACGAUCCGUAGCUGGUCUGAGAGGAUGAUCAGCCAACACUGGAACUGAGACCACGGUCCCAGACCUCCGUACGGGAGCAGCAGUAGGGAUAUGGACAAGUGGGCGCGAAGCCUGAUCC